rnacentral:rRNA from 1 species
UGAGGAAUAUUGGUCAAUGGGCGAGAGCCUGAACCAGCCAAGUAGCGUGCAGGAAGACGGCCCUAAGGGUUGUAAACUGCUUUUAUGCGGGGAUAAAGUGAGGGACGUGUCCUUCAUUGCAGGUACCGCAUGAAUAAGGACCGGCUAAUUCCGUGCCAGCAGCCGCGGUAAUACGGAAGGUCCAGGCGUUAUCCGGAUUUAUUGGGUUUAAAGGGAGCGUAGGCCGUGGAUUAAGCGUGUUGUGAAAUGCAGGUGCUCAACGUCUGCACUGCAGCGCGAACUGGUCCACUUGAGUGUGCGCAACGCAGGCGGAAUUCGUCGUGUAGCGGUGAAAUGCUUAGAUAUGACGAAGAACUCCGAUUGCGAAGGCAGCUUGCGGGAGCACAACUGACGCUGAAGCUCGAAAGUGCGGGUAUCGAACAGGAUUAGAUACCCUGGUAGUCCGCACGGUAAACGAUGGAUGCCCGUUGUCAGGCUGUUUCAGCCUGGUGACCAAGCGAAAGCAUUAAGCAUCCCACCUGGGGAGUACGCCGGCAACGGUG